rnacentral:tRNA from 1 species
AGAAAUUUAGGUUAACUAGUAGUAAACCGAGAGCCUUCAAAGCCCUAAAUGGGACCCAAAACCCAAUUUCUG